GUGGGGAAUCUUGCGCAAUGGGCGAAAGCCUGACGCAGCCAUGCCGCGUGAAUGAUGAAGGUCUUAGGAUUGUUAAAUUCUUUCACCGGGGACGAUAAUGACGGCACCCGGAGAAGAAGCUCCGGCUAACUUCGUGCCAGCAGCCGCGGUAAUACGAAGGGGGCUAGCGUUGCUCGGAAUUACUGGGCGUAAAGGGCGCGUAGGCGGACAGCUUAGUCAGAUGUGAAAGCCCAGGGCUCAACCUUGGAAUUGCCUUUGAUACUGGCUGUCUUGAGUUUGGGAGAGGUGAGUGGAACUCCGAGUGUAGAGGUGAAAUUCGUAGAUAUUCGGAAGAACACCAGUGGCGAAGGCGACUCACUGGCCCAAUACUGACGCUGAGGCGCGAAAGCGUGGGGAGCAAACAGGAUUAGAAACCCGAGUAGUCC
rnacentral:rRNA from 1 species